rnacentral:lncRNA from 1 species
AUUCGCUACUGGUAGGAAUUUUAUGUGAUGGAAGAGCUACAGGCUCACUGGACAUAGGCUUGUCUCACAGUAGGUUUGCUUAUGGCCUAGUAUUUUACAUUCGUGCCACAUUCCCUCACAGCUUAUAAGCUGCUUGAGGGAAGGGAUGACGCCUCCUUUUACAUCUUCUCUAUUACCCCAAAAUCUGGUUCAGACUGGACUAUCACAGUCACUCUAACCAAGCCAUCUAAUAGACAAUUGCAGUCAUUUGAAUGAGAAAAUCUGGGACCAGCCAGUCCCCAUUCAACCUACCAACUAACCACAAAUGUAUAAACGAACUCAGCUGACACCAUAAUGAACAGAUGAAAGCUGUCC